UACGGAGGGGGCAAGCGUUAUUCGGAAUUACUGGGCGUAAAGGGCGUGUAGGCGGUCUAACAGGUCAGAUGUGAAAUCCCCGAGCUUAACUCGGGAACUGCGUUUGAAACCGUUAGACUUGAGGCUGGGAGAGGAAAGCGGAAUUCCUGGUGUAGCGGUGAAAUGCGUAGAUAUCAGGAGGAACACCGGUGGCGAAAGCGGCUUUCUGGACCAGUACUGACGCUGAUGCGCGAAAGCGUGGGUAGCAAACGGG
rnacentral:rRNA from 1 species